rnacentral:rRNA from 1 species
UACGUAGGGUGCAAGCGUUGUCCGGAAUCAUUGGGCGUAAAGAGCGUGUAGGCGGCUCGAUCAGUCCGCUGUAAAAGUCCAGGGCUCAACCCUGGAAUGCCGGUGGAAACUGUCAGGCUCGAGUCCGGAAGAGGCGAGUGGAAUUCCUGGUGUAGCGGUGAAAUGCGCAGAUAUCAGGAGGAACACCAAUGGCGAAGGCAGCUCGCUGGGACGGUACUGACGCUGAGACGCGAAAGCGUGGGGAGCAAACAGG